rnacentral:rRNA from 1 species
AUGGACACGUCAAGGCCAACGACCGAGCAGACGCCGUCGCCUAGCAUCAUCGAGCAGGUCCGCGACCACGCCAUCGCCGGCGCCAUCUUCGGCUCCGCCUGCAACUUCGUCGAGGGCGCCUGGAAGUCGCCGAGCGGGAGCCGCCUCUCCGGCGGAGUCCUGGCCGUCCCCAAGAACGCGCGCAGCAUCGGCAGUUGUGCAGCAUGGUUUGGCGUCGUCCAAUCCAUUAGGUGCGCCGUCACCCAUGUGUCACCGGAGUAUCCCUUUGAAUCCACCGUCGCAUGGGGCGUCACCGACGCCCUCUUCUCGAUGCAUCGCGGGCCGCGCGCGGCCGCCCGCUCCGGCCUCAUGGGUGCCGCCAUAGGAGUGGCCUUCGACAUGGCCGAACAUAGCAUAAAACGCUUCCUUGCCUCACGGCCACCACGGGAAGACGACCGCCGCAUCCCUUCUCAGUCCGCUGCUUGCCCGGCCGGGAUUCCUGACGCCACACGUCGUCGUGUUUGA